AUGAACGCUGGCGGCGGCCUACACAUGCAAGUCGAGCGGAAACGAAGAGGUGCUUGCACCUCUGGCGUCGAGCGGCGGACGGGUGAGUAAUGCUUGGGAAUAUGCCUUAUGGUGGGGGACAACAGUUGGAAACGACUGCUAAUACCGCAUAAUGUCUACGGACCAAAGUGGGGGACCUUCGGGCCUCACGCCAUAAGAUUAGCCCAAGUGGGAUUAGCUAGUUGGUGAGGUAAUGGCUCACCAAGGCGACGAUCCCUAGCUGGUUUGAGAGGAUGAUCAGCCACACUGGGACCGAGACACGGCCCAGACUCCUACGGGAGGCAGCAGUGGGGAAUAUUGCACAAUGGGCGCAAGCCUGAUGCAGCCAUGCCGCGUGUGUGAAGAAGGCCUUCGGGUUGUAAAGCACUUUCAGUAAGGAGGAAAGGUUAAGUGUUAAUAGCGCUUAGCUGUGACGUUACUUACAGAAGAAGCACCGGCUAACUCCGUGCCAGCAGCCGCGGUAAUACGGAGGGUGCGAGCGUNAAUCGGAAU
rnacentral:rRNA from 1 species